rnacentral:rRNA from 1 species
UGCGCAGGCGGACUAUUAAGUCAGUGGUGAAAUCUCUCGGCUCAACCGAGAAACUGCCAUUGAAACUGAUAGCCUUGAGUGUAGUUGUAGUAGGCGGAAUAUAGCAUGUAGCGGUGAAAUGCUUAGAUAUGCUAUAGAACACCGAUCGCGAAGGCAGCUUACUAAACUAUUACUGACGCUCAUGCACGAAAGCGUGGGGAGCAAACAGGAUUAGAUACCCUGGUAGUCC